rnacentral:rRNA from 1 species
GACGAACGCUGGCGGCGUGCCUAAUACAUGCAAGUCGAGCGGACUGAAUGGGAGCUUGCUCUUGUUCGGUCAGCGGCGGACGGGUGAGUAACACGUGGGCAACCUGCCCGCAAGACCGGGAUAACUCCGGGAAACCGGAGCUAAUACCGGAUAACACCCAAGACCGCAUGGUCUUUGGUUGAAAGGCGGCGCACGCUGCCACUUGCGGAUGGGCCCGCGGCGCAUUAGCUAGUUGGUGAGGUAACGGCUCACCAAGGCGACGAUGCGUAGCCGGCCUGAGAGGGUGACCGGCCACACUGGGACUGAGACACGGCCCAGACUCCUACGGGAGGCAGCAGUAGGGAAUCUUCCGCAAUGGGCGAAAGCCUGACGGAGCGACGCCGCGUGAGCGAAGAAGGCCUUCGGGUCGUAAAGCUCUGUUGUGAGGGACGAAGGAGCGCCGUUUGAAGAAGGCGGCGCGGUGACGGUACCUCACGAGGAAGCCCCGGCUAACUACGUG